GAGUCAUGCCCAGAGUCUGGGACAGGGAAGGGGGGGGGGCUGGCUGGGGCCUUGCUCUAUGGAAAUCCGCUUUACUCACUCUCGUUUCCUGUUCUGGUUCCUUCUUCCAGCUUGCAGAUCCUAUUUGCACGGCAUCACCGGGAAGCCUGUUAGAAACGCAGAGUCUCGGGACUCCGCUCAGAUCUCCUGAAGCAGAAUCUGCAUUCCCACCAGAUUCCCAGGACAUAGGGUCCCUGGGUGGAUCUGAAAAUUAAACUGACAAAGACAGAUUAACAGAAGAAAAGCAUACAAAUCUAUUUAAGAUACAUUUUAUGUGAAAUGCAAGUCUUCAUUAAAAAUUGAAGGUCUGAAGAAACGGUUAGACCCGAGUAUUUUAUGCUGGGUUUGAUGAAGGGGAGACGGUCGUGGAGGAAUGUGAAAGGUCAAGGCCUACGAGCUUAAGAGACUCAACACGCCGUGGAGCCACGUUUCGGAGUAGCACGUCCUGAAGCCAUCACGCCCUGUGUGAAACUUGGAGAAGUUUCACAGCCCAGGAUAGAUUGUCCCUUACCCGUUGAACCAGUCUCUCGGUCCUGGCCAUUUCUAUGGAAAUGAAAGAAAAAGGUUAAUGGUUAGAAUAAACUAUAAACUCAGUUUUUGAGUCCAGAGGGCAGUCAUUGGAGAAGAUUUCUA